GGGGACGAUUGGGUUCGACGGGAAUAGGCUGAAGUCGGGAAGCGAGUCGAGGAGUCUGAAACCUCGUAAAAAACGAAAAAACAUUGAAAUGCCGAAGAACCAGAAUUAGCAUUAGCUGCUGCGUAGACGGCGGCUCGUCUCUCCCCAAGUUUUCUUGGAACCUUGCUUGAGGAAUGAGGCGUCAGAAAAAGGUUCCACUUCUAAAAUCUCUUACCCGGGUUUUAGAAGUACCAACGGGUAAUAGGAAAUUGUGACUCGGUCCGCAAAGUCACAAUUUCCGAAAACUGAUUGCGGACUGCGCUCGGAGAAGCCGACUUCACCUAUUUUCGGACGCGGGUUCGAUUCCCGCCGUCUCCACC
rnacentral:tmRNA from 1 species